GACGAACGCUGGCGGCGUGCUUAACACAUGCAAGUCGAACGGAAGUUAAGUUUUCGGAUUUAACGUUUAGUGGCGAACGGGUGAGUAACGCGUGAGGAACCUGCCUUUCAGUGGGGGACAACAGUUGGAAACGACUGCUAAUACCGCAUGACACCAUAGUACCGCAUGGUACAGUGGUCAAAGAUUUAUCGCUCUGAGAUGGCCUCGCGUCUGAUUAGCUAGUUGGCGGGGUAACGGCCCACCAAGGCGACGAUCAGUAGCCGGACUGAGAGGUUGGCCGGCCACAUUGGGACUGAGACACGGCCCAG
rnacentral:rRNA from 1 species